CCUCCUUUCUAAGGAUGAGUGAAAGUAAAAUUUCACUCUAAAUAAUAUACAUCGGUAAUGUUGACCGUCCUCAUUUCUCUUCUUAAAGUAAUGUUUCCUUCUUGUAGGGCCGGUAGCUCAGUUGGUUAGAGCACACCCUUGAUAAGGGUGGGGUCGAAAGUUCGAGUCUUUCUCGGCCCACCAAAAACCUAAAUGGGGGAUUAGCUCAUCUGGGAGAGCGCCUGAUUUGCAUUCAGGGGGUAGCAGGUUCGAUCCCUGUAUCCUCCACCAGGAAACAUUUAGUUAUUAAAACUGUAAAUAAAGAUAAUUUAUAUCAAUAUCUAUAUCCGAACAUUAAAAGUUAUUAUUUAAUGUUCAAAAUAAAGAUUUGAUCACAACAUAGAUUAAUUUUCUGUUAAAAGAAUUUUUUUCUGUGCAUAAAUCAAGCGUUUAAGGGCGUGUAGUGGAUGCCUNGGCACUGAAAGCCGAUGAAGGACGUGAUAUACUGCGAUAAGUUUCGGGGAGCUGUAUGUAAGCUUUGAUCCGAA
rnacentral:misc_RNA from 1 species